AUCGCUUCUCGGCCUUUUGGCUAAGAUCAAGUGUAGUAUCUUUUUUUCUUUUUUUGGCAGCACAGGGUUGAAACCUUGAGCCUUGGUGUUAUGAACACCACGCUUUUACCAACUGAGCUAACCAGCCAACCCUCUUUUAAACAUAAAAUAAAUAACUAGAGGAGACUGUAAGGAAGGCAUUUUCA